rnacentral:rRNA from 1 species
CCUACGGGAGGCAGCAGUGGGGAAUAUUGCACAAUGGGGGAAACCCUGAUGCAGCGACGCCGCGUGAGUGAAGAAGUAUUUCGGUAUGUAAAGCUCUAUCAGCAGGGAAGAAAAUGACGGUACCUGAUUAAGAAGCCCCGGCUAACUACGUGCCAGCAGCCGCGGUAAUACGUAGGGGGCAAGCGUUAGCCGGAUUUACUGGGUGUAGAGGGAGCGUAGACGGCAGGACAAGUCUGGAGUGAAAUGCCGCGGCUUAACCCCGGAACUGCGUUGGAAACUGUGCAGCUAGAGUGCAGGAGAGGGAAGUGGAAUUCCUAGUGUAGCGGUGAAAUGCGUAGAUAUUAGGAGGAACACCAGUGGCGAAGGCGGCUUACUGGACUGUAACUGACGUUGAGGCUCGAAAGCGUGGGGAGCAAACAGGAUUAGAUACCCGAGUAGUC